rnacentral:rRNA from 1 species
ACCGGAAAGGACGGACCGAUGGUGAACCAGUUGCAGUGCCAACUGCACGGCUGGGAAGCCAAGUCCGGGAGUGAUAAACGCUGAAAGCAUCUAAGCGUGAAGCACGCCUCAAGAUAAGAUUUCCCAUACCGUAAAGGUAGUAAGACCCCUCGAAGAAGACGAGGUAGAUAGGCUUAAGGUGUAAGAGCAGAAAUGCUUUAAGCUGGUAAGUACUAAUAGGUCGAGGCCUUGACCU